UGCAAGUCGAGCGGUAGAGAGAAGCUUGCUUCUCUUGAGAGCGGCGGACGGGUGAGUAAUGCCUAGGAAUCUGCCUGGUAGUGGGGGAUAACGUUCGGAAACGGACGCUAAUACCGCAUACGUCCUACGGGAGAAAGCAGGGGACCUUCGGGCCUUGCGCUAUCAGAUGAGCCUAGGUCGGAUUAGCUAGUUGGUGAGGUAAUGGCUCACCAAGGCUACGAUCCGUAACUGGUCUGAGAGGAUGAUCAGUCACACUGGAACUGAGACACGGUCCAGACUCCUACGGGAGGCAGCAGUGGGGAAUAUUGGACAAUGGGCGAAAGCCUGAUCCAGCCAUGCCGCGUGUGUGAAGAAGGUCUUCGGAUUGUAAAGCACUUUAAGUUGGGAGGAAGGGCAGUUACCUAAUACGUUGUUGUUUUGACGUUACCGACAGAAUAAGCACCGGCUAACUCUGUGCCAGCAGCCGCGGUAAUACAGAGGGUGCAAGCGUUAAUCGGAAUUACUGGGCGUAAAGCGCGCGUAGGUGGUUUGUUAAGUUGGAUGUGAAAUCCCCGGGCUCAACCUGGGAACUGCAUUCAAAACUGACUAACUAGAGUAUGGUAGAGGGUGGUGGAAUUUCCUGUGUAGCGGUGAAAUGCCUAGAUAUAGGAAGGAACACCAGUGGCGAAGGCGACCACCUGGACUAAUACUGACACUGAGGUGCGAAAGCGUGGGGAGCAAA
rnacentral:rRNA from 1 species